UGUCCUUCGCGAAUCUUUUUGCGGUCUGGGCUUGCUGUAUAUAAGUACCUAGCCGGGAAGCCCUUACCCCAAAAAGCAUUCGCGGAGGGCG
rnacentral:pre_miRNA from 1 species